rnacentral:lncRNA from 10 species
GCCCACUUCUGGUGUCAGAGCUCGGGCCCUGGAGGUAGCAUCCCCAGGGCCCUCGCCUCCAGCACAAAUUCCAGCCUGCAGAAACCUUGUCAGCUCAGGGGGCCACGGUGCAAGGCACGCCCAGGGGAGGGAAGCUGGGGCUGCCCUGGGGUGCCUUUCUGUGCAGCUGGAGCAGUUCCAUAUCCUAUGAAGAAACUGGUACAGAACAGCACUCCUCUGAAAAAUUAGCAACCUCAUCUACACAGAGACUGGACUGGAGAAGCCCCAGCAGGUGCAGCAAUCCCAGAAGUGAGAGUCAGAGCUGUGGACGCCACCCUUGCUGUGGCCCAAGCAGUGAACUGGGGCCGCUAACCCCCAGGAAGGGUGAAAAGCCCCAACACCCAGAAGAUGAGACCCUAGAGCUUCCCUGGCCACCCCAGCAGCCCUCCCCAUCCCAGGAAGCAGACAGUUGCAUGGGAAAAGCAAGGACGGCACUCAGCCAGACAGGCAAACAACUGUGGCAAACCAGUGCCAGCAGACAAAACCCAGAAACACAGAGCAAAUGAAAUGGUAAAAAUCACUGUCAACCCCCAAGGUUAUCUGCGCAGAAAGGGUCCAUACAGUGGGGACGGCCGUCCUGAGGCCCGCUGGCCGGGCUGGCCCUUGGCUGGCGUCUGGGAACUGGGAUUUCCGAGGGGCUCCCUGAACCCCGCCUCACUGGGCCUGUGCUAUUUGUACAAGGUGGUUUAGGCAGAACACUCACAUCCCUGCUGAGAGUCUGGAAUUGUAGCGCAGCCCAGGCAGAAGCUGCUCACGUGACCAGCCCCCGGGUACAUCACCAGGCAGGGCAUCCCCAACAUCGCACACGCAGAGUCCCAGCUGCUUGCAGGGGAGUGAGGCGCAUCCUGCGUGACCCCCACCCCAGGAGAGGCCUCCAAAGCUGAGCAUGGUGCCCCUGGACUCGGCCCCAGGAACCUUUCCCUUGGCCGAUUUUGCUCAGUGUCCUCCCUGUGGGAAAUCACAGCCGUGACUACCGUGACCUGCAUGGCCUCUGUCCUCCUGGAGAAUCGCCGCCCUGGGUGGUCUUGGGGACCCCAACUCAGUAUCACAUUAGAGUUCUUACCCAUUAAAAAGAAUGCUUAGUGAGAACACUGGGCAAAGGGCAGAACAGACAUGCCUGGGGGCCUGUGCUGAGGCACUCGCCCAGUGCACCCCACCAGGAGCAGCCUGGGAACCAGCCCAGGGAACGAGGCGCCAGCACCUGGGGAAGCCUGGGGACCCUGCCUCACAGGAUUACAAAGGAAAGCUGACCGCCAACUACCAAAACAGAAACAGCAAAUCACUGACACAGGAAUCUGCCUCUUUAUUGACAUGCUAAGUAACAAGACGCAGAGGCAGGUCUCAUCGCAACCAACCGUGACCACAGAGGACCACAGAGGAGUGAUGACAGGGAGCUGUGCUUCUAAGCAACUGCAGGAGGGAAGCGCAGUCGGAACAGCCUGCUGGCUUCUAGUGGUCAAAUGUGCCACUCACACAAUGGCAUCUGCUGAAAAAGCUGCAAAAUGUCAUUUAUAGGUUAGUGAACACAUCCGUCUCACAGACCCCAACUAACCUGAGAAUUCCAGAGGAAGACCACAGAAUGACAGAAGGGAGAUCAGAAACAGAAGAAAACAUGCCAGAGCUAACCCAAGUCUGCAGAAAAGCCCCCACCGUGAGGAAUCCCAGCUGGGAUGAUCUGGUGUGCUCCCUGGGGGCAGUGGCCACAGGCUCCUCUGACAAUACGACAAAGGGACACACACUGCAGGGCAGGGAAAACACAGAACUUUAUUUCAACAGUCAUUAGGUUCCACCACACAACAGGGACACCA